rnacentral:lncRNA from 1 species
UGAAAGGUAUGGUGGCACACAUCUGUAACCCCAGUAUUCAGGAGGCUGAGGCAGGAGGAUUGCAAACUCGAAGCCAGGGUGGCUUACAAAGGGAUUUAGCUCAGUGGUUCGGCUGCCUGCCUUGCAAGCACAAGGUCCUGAGUUCGAUCCCCGGUAUCAAAAAAGAGCCUGGAAGCCAAAGUGAGACCUGUCACAAACAAAAAGCAAGGGAAUGGUGGCUUGAGUCUGUAAUCUCAGCCCUUCUGGCGGCUGAGACAGGAGGACUGCAAGUUUGGGCCCACCCCAGACAAUUUCAAUACUUAGAGACAGCCUGUCUCAACUCCCAGUACCGGACUAGAAACAACAAAAACGAAACUCAUAAUCUAAGACUUAAAGCAUGGUAUUGGACAUUUAAUGUUUCAUGUGGUGAAAACACGAAUAGAAAAAUAGGGGGAAAUCGAGGCAUAAAAAACGGUUUCCUCCGUCCACGCAGCCAGGCUCUUUACCCAGUAGACAAGUGGGGGAAAGUCUUGGCCUCAUGACUUCUGAGCCGAGACUGUCACAUCGGGGACACAGAAGCAAAGCCAGGACUGUCCUUCACGCGUGUCCACCGCUCCCCCCUGGUGACGGAGGUGCUCCUUACCCCGGGCUCCACCGCAGAUCAUGCUCUCCUGAACUACGCAGGGAAAGGAGAAACCGCCAGCCCCUUGUCCCUAUACUGGCCGCGACUCUGCCGCCUCCCUCUGUCCCCGCCUCGUUCCGCCUGCGUCCUUCCCUGCUUUCUUCUAGGCUCUGCUCGGUCUCUACGCAACUUCACGCUCCGGGCGUUUCCGGGGAAACCGCGAAGGCCACGCCCGCAGGGCUCCAGCGCCUCUUCUGAUAGGUCAGACCCUCGCAGUCACGUCCCUUUCUUUACCGCCACGCCCCUCGUGGAGCGGGCUCGGGGUCGCGCAGGCGUGGUGGCGCGCUCGUGUCCCCUCCCUUCCCCAUGCUGAGGGUCCCGAGGCUGGGGUACUGUUCGACUAGUGACCGCUGGCUCCGUCAGAAGAUUGAGGCAGGUUUGUUGACAAAAGGGUUAGGUCUCGGCAUUGCUCUGGUGACGCAGCCCUGGCCCGGCACUAGGGCGGUCGCGAGGCACAGCACUGAUGUUAACUAAGAACAGCAUGAGAUACUAAUAAAUAUAAGAACC